AUUAAGACCUUGGGGCUUGGAGACAGGCAGUGACCGUCCCAAGAUCACUCAGCUGAUAAGUGAUGGAGCCAGGAUUCCAGCCUAGACUGUCUGACUGCAAAGGGCUAUACGGGUGGGAGUCUAUAGAGUUGGGGGGUGGGGUGACAUUUCCUAGCCACCCUCCACAUAAAAAAUGAAAAGCCACUGUCCUAAUUAUUUCUUUACCCUAAAGGUCCAAGGGUAAAAUCCCAUUUCUUCCAAGAGGCCCUGCCUUCUUUAUCCAGCCCAGACUGCUCGUUUUCUGACCUCCCAUUUAUUUCUCAACCAGAUACUGACCCUCCACUCUGUGCCUGUCGUAGAUAUACGUUGUGAUGGGCCCCAGAGUUACAAAAUCCAGUAGGCCCUGGUCCUGCCAUCAGGUCCCUGUGGUGCGGUAGGGAGAGGGACCUGAGUCACCUGAGCAAGUUAGAUGUCCUGCUGGGGGCCUGGGCCUACUCCAAGAAAGGGACAACUGUCAUGUGUGUUCCCUCUGUGGCCCUAAAUUGGAAUUUCAGUACUACGUUUUAUUUUCUCAUGGAUUCCACUGCAAGUCAUUUGUUUUCAGGAAUAGGGAUGAAGUCCUGCUGGCCUAUGGUUGCCUCGGUUCUGUCAUCUGUGAAGUAGUAUAUUGGCCCCAACUGUUCAGGCCUCAUUCAGGAAUCCCCACAGUGAACUCUUCCUCUAGCCUCAUCACCCAGCACCACUCUCCUCACGACUCACAUUUCCCAGGUUGGACUGAAGACUCUGUUCCCACAAAUGUGUUCCUCCGUCACCUCCUGCCCCUGGUCUCCACCUGCCGCAGUCCUAUUCAUCCUUCCUGGCUCAUCGUGGAGUCUACCUCCAUCAAGCCUCUCCUGAUUUCCCUAACGAGAUGUCAUCACUGACUCCUAACCCUUCCUUGCAGAGCUCAAGUUUCCAGCAGGUUGAGCUCAAGGAGAAGAUUACAGAUGUAACUCAGCAUGGACGCUCCCCUAAGAAGCCAUCCCUGACAGAACCCAAUGCCUUGAGGUCAUCCCUUCUUCCUUGUAUUACCUUGCACCCUGUAUACACUUUAAUCAUUGCUCUUAUCACGCUGAAGUGUCAUUAUUUACACACUUGUGCUUUUUUCUGCCAGAUUAUGAAUUCCAUGAAAAAAGAGAUUGUGCUUUCUGCAUCUCUAGCCAAGCAUCUGCCACAUGUGAACUACAGGUGAAGGCCAUCAGCUGCAAGUGAGGAAAGGAGAGGAGAUACGGGAAGCUUGAGAACACAGAGGGUGUGAACAGUUUUGGAAGUGAGGAU
ensembl:lncRNA